AUUGAACGCUGGCGGCAGGCCUAACACAUGCAAGUCGAGCGGAUGAAGGGGGCUUGCUCCUGGAUUCAGCGGCGGACGGGUGAGUAAUGCCUAGGAAUCUGCCUGGUAGUGGGGGAUAACGUCCGGAAACGGGCGCUAAUACCGCAUACGUCCUGAGGGAGAAAGUGGGGGAUCUUCGGACCUCACGCUAUCAGAUGAGCCUAGGUCGGAUUAGCUAGUUGGUGGGGUAAAGGCCUACCAAGGCGACGAUCCGUAACUGGUCUGAGAGGAUGAUCAGUCACACUGGAACUGAGACACGGUCCAGACUCCUACGGGAGGCAGCAGUGGGGAAUAUUGGACAAUGGGCGAAAGCCUGAUCCAGCCAUGCCGCGUGUGUGAAGAAGGUCUUCGGAUUGUAAAGCACUUUAAGUUGGGAGGAAGGGCAGUAAGUUAAUACCUUGCUGUUAUGACGUUACCAACAGAAUAAGCACCGGCUAACUUCGUG
rnacentral:rRNA from 1 species